CGAAACAUAGCUUAUCCAAAGCCUUUCGCUUACACCGAAAAAAAGUCCGUUAAACCCAGACUGUUUCGAG
rnacentral:tRNA from 1 species